CCCUAAUCAUUUUUGUUGCCCUCCGCUGGACUCUCUCCAAUUUGUCCACAUCCCUUCUGUAGUGGGGGGACCAAAACUGGACACAAUACUCCAAAUGGGGCCUCACCAGUGCCAAAUAGAGGGGAAGAAUCACUUCCUUCAAUCUGCUAACAAUGCUUCCACUAAUACAGCCCAAUAUGCCAUUGGCCUUCUUGGCAACAAGGGCACACUGCUGACUCAUAUCCAGCUUCUCCCCAAUUAUUAUCAA